rnacentral:rRNA from 1 species
CUCGUAGGCGGUUCGUCGCGUCCGGUGUGAAAGUCCAUCGCUUAACGGUGGAUCUGCGCCGGGUACGGGCGGGCUGGAGUGCGGUAGGGGAGACUGGAAUUCCCGGUGUAACGGUGGAGUGUGUAGAUAUCGGGAAGAACACCAAUGGCGAAGGCAGGUCUCUGGGCCGUUACUGACGCUGAGGAGCGAAAGCGUGGGGAGCGAACA